rnacentral:lncRNA from 1 species
UUUUCUCUAAUGGGAUUGAUAACAAACUACUUUGGACCUCCCAGACCUGGCAAACAAAGCUGAAAUCUCAAGAUUUUGAGGUAGAAAUACACCAUUUUUUUAAGUGAGGGAAGUUUAAGUAUUCAAUUUUUCCCUUUUCAUCAUGUGUCAUUUAACUCGUCUGUAUUAAAGAUGCUUGCCAAGUCUGGAUAAUUUUACGUUUUUAUGAUUAUAUAUUUAAAAGAUGGUUUACUAUGGAAUCUGAGAGCUACAACAUUUUGCAC